AUACGGAGGGUGCAAGCGUUACUCGGAAUCACUGGGCGUAAAGUGCGCGCAGGCGGGCUGAUAAGUUGGAUGUGAAAGCCUACGGCUCAACCGUAGAACUGCAUCCAAAACUGUCAGUCUAGAGUGUGGGAGAGGAAGAUGGAAUUAGUUGUGUAGGGGUAAAAUCCGUAGAGAUAACUAGGAAUACCAAAAGCGAAGGCAAUCUUCUGGAACACUACUGACGCUGAGGCGCGAAGGCGAGGGGAGCAAACAGGAUUAGAAACCCCGGUAGUCC
rnacentral:rRNA from 1 species